GAUGAAGAACGUAGCUAAAUGCGAUAAGUAAUGCGAAUUGCAGAUCUCCGUGAGUCAUUGAAUCUUUGAACGCACAUUGCGCCCUCGGGUAUUCCCGAGGGCAUGCCUGUCCGAGCGUCAUUAUCCAACCAUCAAGCUCGGCUUGCGGUUGAGCCCCGCACCGUCCCCGGGACGGUGGGCUCGAAACAUGUUGGGCGCCCGUGAGGUUGUCGGUGCAGCGAGCUCUCGAGCACGUGCCGGGCAACCGCUCUGGGCGUCGGCCAGCCCCCCCAUUUUCUCAGGUUGACCUCGGAUCAGGUAGGAAUACCCGCUGAACUUAAGCAUAUCAAUAAGCGGAGGA
rnacentral:misc_RNA from 1 species